GCCGACAGGAACGUGGAGAUCUGGAAGAUCAAAAAGCUCAUUAAGAGCUUGGAGACGGACAGCAGCAAUGGCACCAGCAUAUCAUUGAUCAUUCCUCCCAAAGACCAGAUUUCAUGAGUGGCAAAAAUGUUAGCAGAUGAAUUUGAAACUGCAUCUAACAUUAAGUCACAAAUAAACUGCCUUUCAGUCCUGGAGUCAUUACAUCGGUACAACAAAGACUCAAACUUUAUAACAAAGUACCUCCAAAUGGUCUGGUGGAACAAUUGUAACUGAAGAAGGAAAGGAAAAGAAAGUCAAAAUUGACUUUGAACCUUUCAAACCAAUUAAUACGUCACUGUAUUUGUGUGACAACCAAUUCCAUAUAGAGGCUCUCAUAGCACUACUUUCAGAUGAUAGUAAGUUUGGCAUCAUUGUAAUAGAUGGUAGUGGUGCACUUUUUGGUACACUCCAAGGAAAUACACGAGAAGUUCUGCAUAAAUUCACUGUGGAUCUCCCAAAGAAACACGGUAAAGGAGGUCAGUCAACCUUGCGUUUUACCCGUUUGAGAAUGGAAAAGCGACAUAACUAUGUCGGAAAGUAGCAGAGACUGCUAUGCAGCUGUUUAUUUCUGGGGACAAAGUGAAUGUGGCUGGUCUCGUUUUAGCUGGAUCAGCCGACUUUAAAACUGAACUAAGUCAAUCUGAUAUGUUUGAUCAGAGGUUGCAAUCAAAAGUUAAAAUUAGUUGAUAUAUCCUAUGGUAGUGAAAAUGGAUUCAACCAAGCUAUUGAGUUAUCUACUGAAGUCCUCUCCAACAUGAAAUUCAUUCAAGAGAAGAAAUUAAUAGGACAAUACUUUGAUGAAAUCAGCCAGGACACAGGCAAGUACUGUUUUGGCGUUGAAGAUACACUAAAGGAUUUGGAAAUGGGAGCUGUAGAGAUUCUAACAGUCUAUGAAAAUCUGGAUAUAAUGAGAUAUGUUCUUCAUUGCCAAGGCACAGAAGAGGAGAAAAUUCUCUAUCUAACUCCAGAACAAGAAAAGGAUAAAUCUCAUUUUACAGACAAAGAGACCGGACAAGAACAUGAGCUUAUUGAGGGUAUGCCCCUGUUGGAAUGGUUUGCUAACAACUAUAAAAAAUUUGGAGCCACGUUGGAAAUUGUCACAGAUAAGACACAAGAAGGAUCCCAGUUUGUGAAAGGAUUUGGUGGAACUGGAGGUAUCUUGCAGUACCGAGCAGAUUUCCAGGGAAUGGAGUACCAAGGAGGAGAUGAUGACUUUUUUGACCUUGAAGACGACCAGGCAGUCGACAUGGGUCCGGCAAAACGUGCCUCACCCUCCAGCAUCUAACCCAAGGAGCAUAACCACGGUGGAAUCCAAACAGAUCCCUGCCUUACAACUGGAACACUUCCAGAACUUAAUCCAUGAGCACUGGAUAUUGAAAAGAAAACAGAAACAAAACCAGAUCCCACCCUACACUUUGGUUUGUCAUGGUGUCAGCACAGCAGCCUACAACUAAGUUCCUAAAUGCCACUUUGGACUAAUUUAAAAAAGAAUCCCAGUUUUUACUUUUACUCGGUGAAAUUGGUUGCUCUUGUAUUUUAUGGAAAAAAAAGAUUUUUUUAACCUUCAUACAUAGGAGCAAAAAUACUUUGCUGUAAACCUUCAAAAGUUAAUAGAAGUGAGAUCAUACUGGUUUCUUAUUUCGAUUGGGGAAAAACUAAAUUGCUGCAUUGUGCAGUGACCCAUUUACAUGGCAUUCUCAGCUUAGACUGCAUAAGAAGAAAUAUAUGUGGUGAAAUGUUGGAGCCAUUUCUCUUGGCUUCUGUUUAAUGUUGAAAGGGUGAGCUAAU